CGUAAGUUUGAUGGCGACCGGCGCACGGGUGAGUAACACGUAUCCAACCUGCCGAUGACUCGGGGAUAGCCUUUCGAAAGAAAGAUUAAUAUCCGAUAGCAUAUAUUUCCCGCAUGGGUUUUAUAUUAAAGAAAUUCGGUAUGAGAUGGGGAUGCGUUCCAUUAGUUUGUUGGGGGGUAACGGCCCACCAAGACUACGAUGGAUAGGGGUUCUGAGAGGAAGGUCCCCCACAUUGGAACUGAGACACGGUCCAA
rnacentral:rRNA from 1 species